rnacentral:rRNA from 1 species
UACGAAGGGGGCUAGCGUUGCUCGGAAUUACUGGGCGUAAAGCGCACGUAGGCGGAUUGUUAAGUCGGGGGUGAAAUCCUGGAGCUCAACUCCAGAACUGCCUUCGAUACUGGCGAUCUCGAGUUCGGGAGAGGUGAGUGGAACUGCGAGUGUAGAGGUGAAAUGCGCAGAUAUCAGGAGGAACACCGGUGGCGAAGGCGGGUCUCUGGGCCGAUACUGACGCUGAGGAGCGAAAGCGUGGGGAGCGAACAGG